rnacentral:rRNA from 1 species
GAUGAACGCUAGCUACAGGCUUAACACAUGCAAGUCGAGGGGAAACGAUAGAGAAAGCUUGCUUUUUCUAGGCGUCGACCGGCGCACGGGUGAGUAACGCGUAUCCAACCUGCCCAUCACUUGGGGAUAACCUUGCGAAAGUAAGACUAAUACCCAAUGACGUCUCUAGAAGACAUCUGAAAGAGAUUAAAGAUUUAUCGGUGAUGGAUGGGGAUGCGUCUGAUUAGCUUGUUGGCGGGGUAACGGCCCACCAAGGCGACGAUCAGUAGGGGUUCUGAGAGGAAGGUCCCCCACAUUGGAACUGAGACACGGUCCAAACUCCUACGGGAGGCAGCAGUGAGGAAUAUUGGUCAAUGGACGAGAGUCUGAACCAGCCAAGUAGCGUGCAGGAUGACGGCCCUAUGGGUUGUAAACUGCUUUAUAAGGGAAUAAAGUGAGUCUCGUGAGACUUUUUGCAUGUACCUUAUGAAUAAGGACCGGCUAAUUCCGUGCCAGCAGCC